rnacentral:pre_miRNA from 1 species
AGCUUUCUGAAUCCGUGCUGAGAUUUCGUCAGACACCAACCCAUUAGGACUGAUCAGAAUUCUAAGAUAAGUGAAGUU